UGUUGAUGUUGAUGUUGAUGUUGGCGGUGAUGUUGGUGGUGGUGAUGAUGAUCCAAUGUCAUCGUCAUCAUCGUCAUAAUUGUCAUCAUCUUCAUCUCUA
rnacentral:miRNA from 1 species